rnacentral:lncRNA from 1 species
CUCCCAAUGUAGUUUAGAAUCAAAAAGAAUUUCCUGAAUUCAAGCUUACUGAGUGCCAGUAACUGCUCACUUAUUCCUCGUGUGCUGGCCCUGUCUCUGAAUGUAGAUGGCCUAGGAUCGUAAUGAUCUCUUUGAAAGCUAGUUGUCACUGGACUCAUUGGAGGUGAUGGUAUUCGUGGAGCUGAUGUAGGAGAAUCAGAUGCAUCACCUACUAUGUCUGCAGGCAUUGGAAGACCAUCAUUGGUAAACUAGAAUUCUUGAAAGGUCUGAGUACAUUACAUGUUGUGUUGUUCGGACUCUUCAAAAGUGUGUAUCGAAUACUCCAAAAGUAGUGCAUUUUGGAGAAUCCAACACGGGUUCAACAGUUUUUGAGAGUCCGAGCAACAUAGUUUACAUGUAGAGUUGUAAAUAUGCAAAAAAAGGAAGAAGAGAUCGCAACCAAUAAAAAAAUUGAACAAGUUCUUCAUUAAGCCUAAACUAAUUCAAGCUUACUGAGUGCCAGCAACUGUUCACUUAUUCCUCGUGUGCUGGCCCUGUCUCUGAAUGUAGAUGGCCUAGGAUCGUAAUGAUCUCUUUGAAAGCUAGUUGUCACUGGACUCAUUGGAGGUGAUGGUAUUCGUGGAGCUGAUGUAGGAGAAUCAGAUGCAUCACCUACUAUGUCUGUAGGCAUUGGAAGACCAUCAUUGGU